rnacentral:lncRNA from 1 species
UUCCCCUAAGAGCAUGAUGUAUGAAGGCAAAAAGAUAAAAAAGUUCGAGUGGUGUCUCCGUCCUGAGAUCAGACAACAGCUGUAUGUGUUCGAGCUCAGUACUUACUCGGUUGUUCUGGCCAAAGUAUAGCUAGUGGAGAGGAACCUUCGCAUUUUUUCUCAAGUAGUAGGGAACCUCAGGCCCUCGAUUUCACAUCGCAUACCAAC